rnacentral:rRNA from 1 species
GCUUAACGCGAAGAACCUUACCCACCUUUGACAUGUAUGGAAUUUGCCAGAGAUGGCUUAGUGCUCGAAAGAGAACCGUAACACAGGUGCUGCAUGGCUGUCGUCAGCUCGUGUCGUGAGAUGUUGGGUUAAGUCCCGCAACGAGCGCAACCCUUGCCAUUAGUUGCUACGAAAGGGCACUCUAAUGGGACAGCCGGUGACAAACCGGAGGAAGGUGGGGAUGACGUCAAGUCCUCAUGGCCCUUAUAGGUGGGGCUACACACGUCAUACAAUGGCUGGUACAAAGGGUUGCCAACCCGCGAGGGGGAGCCAAUCCCAUAAAGCCAGUCGUAGUCCGGAUCGCAGUCUGCAACUCGACUGCGUGAAGUCGGAAUCGCUAGUAAUCGUGGAUCAGCAUGUCACGGUGAAUACGUUCCCGGGUCUUGUACACACCG